UUGAUUUGUCGCCCCCUAGUGGCGGCACGUAGAAAUAUUUGUUGGUCUGUCGGAUCUAAUGAUACGGUUUUAAGAAAACUAGAUUGGCAGAACUGUUGCUUUUAAAGAGUAAGGGUACCAAAACAGGGAAUUCCACAAUAUGGGCACAGCAACACAUGGCUGGUGACUAUUUCGGCGAUACCGGGUCCAGUAACAAAAAGAUAAACUUCCCCAAACUCUCAAUAUACUGCUUUAAUGAAGAGCUAGCAUCUCCUUGAAGACCGUAACUCAGGGAGACCACAUUACUGCAGUCAGAAUUUCAUAG